CAGCUUGCUGAAGAAUGACGACUGCAGAACACUAAGAUGAGUGUCAGGUAGAUUAUUACCCGCCCUGAUAAAAAGUUGCAAUCUGAUUCUGACGCCGGCUUCUCGUAAUCAAGCACAAUGCGUUGGAAUCCCUGCUUCGCAGUACCGUAGCUUGUCAUUGGGAGUGCCAAAACUAAAUGGCGCAGCCCAUUAAAAUGUGGAUUAAAAAGACGUCUUCAAUCCAAAGUUGGCAGCAGAAUAGGAAUCUUCCAUCUGAUGCCGACAGCAGUCACGUGGGAUCU